AAGUAUACGAUGGAGUAGACCAAAUAACGCCGUCGACCAGUGUCAAGCAACGCGAAAACCCAACUCUGUCGCAAAUAUCAUGAUUAGGUUAGGAGUGUGAUGGUCAACAAAAUUACAUAAACAUUAAAUAGAGUAAUAGCAUCUAACCAGCCAAUUAAAGUAGGGUAUGAAGCUUAUGAUUCCCAUCACGGCAAACCUCGCAUCAGUAGCAUCGAUAGUAGAGUUGCCAUCAUCUUCCGGUACGCUAGAGACCGGGAAAAUCAGCGAAUUGAGAACGCAAGCUCCGAUUGCAACCG